AUAAUUAAAAAAAAAAAAAAAAGUUACUAUCACACAAAGUCGAAAGUAGACAGUUCCUCUUGACCUGGAAUUGUCCAAGUCAGCACCACAGCUGGUUAAGGCAGCCCCUCUCUCUUUCCUCUUCUUAUUUUCUUGGCCUUAAGUCUGCUUAGGACUCCUGGAAAAUCAGGUUAAGGGAGAUCAGUUGUGUUCAUCAUUUUAAUACAAUGUUUAUUGAUCCACAGAUGUGUGCCGAUUGCUGGGAUAAAGAGAUAACUAAGAUUAGUCUUCCUAAGCCCUGCUUUCCUCAGUCAUAAACAGAACAAUGAUCAAAGCAAUGGUCACAAUAGUGCCUGGGGUGGCUGUCAUCUCUACGAGGCCUGGGUGCACUGACCCCAUUCCUGCAAAGGGAAGGCUCAGACAAUGGCAGUGUUGAUUACGGAGGUGAUGGCUGCAGCUGCAGACAGCUAUUUGGCAAAUUCUAUGAACUAUCCCUGAUCUGCCCAGGGGAGGCGUGUCUGACCCUUCACCAUUGGAAAUCAACUUAAUGGACUGUCCUGGAAAGGCAGUCAGUCUAGUCUAAACAGGAAAGACAACAUUCUUAUUGCUUGGAGGUUUACUCCAGUGAGAAUUGAGUGGAAUGACAGAAAAAACACCCAUUGCUAAGAGCUAUCUGGUAAAAGCUCAGAGAGGACAGAAAAUUGCAUUUCAUUUUCUGAUAGAACAACUUGUUACAAAUUUACAACCGUGUUUUCCGCCAAUAUUCUGCUUUCCUCUUUAAUGAAUACGCUGUGGUCUCAUGCAGCAUAGAGAACCUAGGGAAAUUAUCCUAAUUAAUUACUAAGUUACAAUUUUCCAGAUGAUGUUGAUUGCCGUUUUCUUGAAAAUGUAGACGUUUGGGAACUGUUGGAGACACACACACAUUCUCAGCCCAUCACUCCGCCCUGUCACAGUACACGCCAUGCCCAGCAAUGUGCAAGAGAAGAAAGUCGGUUAAAAACACCCUGUACUUCUGGACAAGCAUGGGGCAAGAGGGACGCGUUAACUGAAAGUUGCUGAAGAGAGGCUCCUGUCGGCCAGGUGUGGGCGGCCGCUGUCCAGAGAGAAACUCCUGCCACGUGUGUGAGGCUGACCGAGCCCCGCACCCCCCAUGCUCUCCUGGCUAAGCGGAUUCAGGGCUGGCCAACAAACCCAGACAGAGACCUUGGGCAACAUUACCAAAUCCUCCAGGCCUCAGCUAUGAAAUGGGUGUGACUGAAACCUCUUUCCAGGCUGUGGUUGAGACUAACUGCGUUAUCACACACAGCACGCUUGGAACAGCACCCAAUGGAUACUAACUAUUAAAAUUGUGCUUAAACCUGGUGUCAUGGACUACACUGCUAUGUGUAAUCUUAAUGCAAGAGUACACAGACUGAGAGCGCCACUUGAGACAAGGUCCCCCAAACGCCUGACCGAGUUGGAGAUCAGUGGUGGAAAUUUCAAAGGUAGAGGACACAGCUGCCGUCUUGGGAAUGGUGGACUCCUCCCAGAAGACAAUCAUUUAACCGGAAAAAAUGGUUUUAAACAUCAUUUAAAGUCUCUGAAAUUAUCCUAAGGGCAUACACAGAAUGAAAAACUAUUUAUUCAGGAAAAUCCAGUAAAUCUUAGUAACAACAGUGAGAGUCUGUGGCAUUUGAGCCUCAGCCCUCCCUCCAAGCCCAUCGAGAAAAUGGAAGCUCUGCUCUCUACAGAUGUGGAAAAGAAAAUGGGGGCCCUACUCCCCCAGUGCCCAGUCUGGGGCUCUGGCCACCUGUGUUGCCCACCUCCCAGCCCCGUGUUAAAAUGUUGAAAGCCAAAUAAAGAGAAAGCCUUGAGAACAGAAAGGGCACGUGACCCAUCGCGCACAAGGAGGCCCCGGUGAGACCCACCGCGCACGAGGAGGCCCCGGUGAGACCUGUCUCACACAAGGGGAUUCUGUAGAUCAUCGUAAAAGACAGUAUAACAUAUUUCUUCUUUCUUCUCAACUUAUUUUUAAAAUGCUUACAUAAAAGAAUAUGUAUAUAAUUACAUUAUUUGUAUUAUAACAUAUAGAAAUGUAAUACAUUUGAAAAUAGCAGCACAAAGAAGCCGGGUGGAACAAAGCUGUAUUGGAGAGAAAGCAAUGACAUCAGAUAGUAACCAGUAUCCACAGGGGGAAGAAAAGAGAAUCAGAAAUGGUAAAUAAGGAGAUUAAUAUAACAAACUUUAUAAACAUAUACUUGCUCUCCUUUCUUCUCUCAACUUCCUUAAAAGACUUAAGAUUAUAUACAGUAGUAAUUAUAACAAUAUAUUGUUGGGUUUGUAACAUAUACAGGGACAAUAUAUUAAACAACAGCACAAAAAAGAAGUCUAUGGAAUGAAACUAUGUUGUAUGAAGUCUAUGGAAUUGAACUCAUUCCACAGGAGUAUGUUUCUGUAUUUCACUGGUAUUAGGCUAGUAUAAAUCUAAAAUAAAAUUUGAUGUUAAGAUGUACAUUGUAAGCUCCAGAGCAACCACUAAGAAAAUAAACAAUACAGUAAAAAUGUCAUUUAAGGAAUAAAAAAUAUUACAUU